rnacentral:rRNA from 1 species
AUUGAACGCUGGCGGCAGGCCUAACACAUGCAAGUCGAACGAGUGGCGGACGGGUGAGUAAUGUCUGGGAAACUGCCUGAUGGAGGGGGAAAACUACUGGAAACGGUAGCUAAUACCGCAUACCAUUGGAUGUGCCCAGAUGGGAUUCGCUAGUAGGUGGGGUAAAGGCUCACCUAGGCGACGAUCCCCAGCUGGUCUGAGAGGAUGACCAGCCACACUGGAACUGAGAAACGGUCCAGAAUCCGACGGGAGGCAGCAGUGGGGAAUAUUGCGCAAUGGGCGCAAGCCUGAUGCAGCCAUGCCGCGUGUGUGAAGAAGGCCUGCGGGUUGUAAAACACUUUCAUCGGGGAGGCGUUACCCACAGAAGAAGCACCGGCUAACUACGUGCCAGCCGCCGCGGUAAUAC